CCGCCUGGGGAGUACGGCCGCAAGGUUAAAACUCAAAUGAAUUGACGGGGGCCCGCACAAGCGGUGGAGCAUGUGGUUUAAUUCGAUGCAACGCGAAGAACCUUACCUGGUCUUGACAUCCACAGAACUUUCCAGAGAUGGAUUGGUGCCUUCGGGAACUGUGAGACAGGUGCUGCAUGGCUGUCGUCAGCUCGUGUUGUGAAAUGUUGGGUUAAGUCCCGCAACGAGCGCAACCCUUAUCCUUUGUUGCCAGCGGUCCGGCCGGGAACUCAAAGGAGACUGCCAGUGAUAAACUGGAGGAAGGUGGGGAUGACGUCAAGUCAUCAUGGCCCUUACGACCAGGGCUACACACGUGCUACAAUGGCGCAUACAAAGAGAAGCGACCUCGCGAGAGCAAGCGGACCUCAUAAAGUGCGUCGUAGUCCGGAUUGGAGUCUGCAACUCGACUCCAUGAAGUCGGAAUCGCUAGUAAUCGUAGAUCAGAAUGCUACGGUGAAUACGUUCCCGGGCCUUGUACACACCGCCCGUCACACCAUGGGAGUGGGUUGCAAAAGAAGUAGGUAGCUUAACCUUCGGGAGGGCGCUUACCACUUUGUGAUUCAUGACUGGGG
rnacentral:rRNA from 2 species